GUUGGCAGCACAUACAGUAUAUUAAAAUCUAAACUAUACAGAGAAGAUUAGCAAGGCCCCUGCGCAAGGAUGACACACAAAUUCAAGAUUUGUUCUAUAUUUUA